rnacentral:rRNA from 1 species
CGGCGACCGGCGCACGGGUGAGUAACACGUAUGCAAUCCACCUGUAACAGGGGGAUAACCCGGAGAAAUCCGGACUAAUACCCCAUAAUAUGGGCGCUCCGCAUGGAGAGCCCAUUAAAGAGAGCAAUUUUGGUUACAGACGAGCAUGCGCUCCAUUAGCCAGUUGGCGGGGUAACGGCCCACCAAAGCGACGAUGGAUAGGGGUUCUGAGAGGAAGGUCCCCCACAUUGGAACUGAGACACGGUCCAAACUCCUACGGGAGGCAGCAGUGAGGAAUAUUGGUCAAUGGUCGGCAGACUGAACCAGCCAAGUCGCGUGAGGGAAGACGGCCCUACGGGUUGUAAACCUCUUUUGUCGGAGAGUAAAGUACGCUACGUGUAGUGUAUUGCAAGUAUCCGAAGAAAAAGCAUCGGCUAACUCCGUGCCAGCAGCCGCGGUAAUACGGAGGAUGCAAGCGUUAUCCGGAUUUAUUGGGUUUAAAGGGUGCGUAGGCGGCACGCCAAGUCAGCGGUGAAAUUUCCGGGCUCAACCCGGAGUGUGCCGUUGAAACUGGCGAGCUAGAGUACACAAGAGGCAGGCGGAAUGCGUGGUGUAGCGGUGAAAUGCAUAGAUAUCACGCAGAACCCCGAUUGCGAAGGCAGCCUGCUAGGGUGAAACAGACGCUGAGGCACGAAAGCGUGGGUAUCGAACAGGAUUAGAUACCCUGGUAGUCCACGCAGUAAACGAUGAAUACUAACUGUUUGCGAUACAAUGUAAGCGGUACAGCG